rnacentral:rRNA from 1 species
AACGAACGCUGGCGGCAGGCUUUACACAUGCAAGUCGAACGCAUCCUUCGGGGUGAGUGGCAGACGGGUGAGUAACGCGUGGGAACGUGCCCUUCAGUUCGGGAUAACCCAGGGAAACUUGGGCUAAUACCGGAUACGUGCGAGAGCAGAAAGAUUUAUCGCUGAAGGAUCGGCCCGCGUCUGAUUAGCUAGUUGGUGGGGUAAUGGCCCACCAAGGCGACGAUCAGUAGCUGGUCUGAGAGGAUGAUCAGCCACAUUGGGACUGAGACACGGCCCAAACUCCUACGGGAGGCAGCAGUGGGGAAUAUUGGACAAUGGGCGCAGGCCUGAUCCAGCCAUGCCGCGUGAGUGAUGAAGGCCUUAGGGUUGUAAAGCUCUUUCGUCCGGGACGAUAAUGACGGUACCGGAAGAAGAAGCCCCGGCUAACUUCGUGCCAGCAGCCGCGGUAA